UCCCUAGUAACGGCGAGUGAAGCGGGAAGAGCUCAAAUUUAAAAUCUGGCGGUGCAUUCCCCUCCAGUUGUAGUCUAGAGAAGCGUCAUCCGCGCCGGACCAUGUACAAGUCUCUUGGAACAGAGCGUCAUAGAGGGUGAGAAUCCCGUCCUUGACAUGGACUCCCGGUGCUUUGCGUUGCGCUCUCGACGAGUCGAGUUGUUUGGGAAUGCAGCUCAAAACGGGUGGUAAAUUCCAUCUAAAGCUAAAUAUUGGCCGAGAGACCGAUAGGCGAACAAGUACCCCGUGAGGGAAAGAUGAAAAAGCACUUUGGAGAGAGAGUUAAACAGUACGUGAAAUUGUUUGGAAUGGAAACGCUUGAAGUCAGUCGCGUUCUCUGGGAUUUCAGCCUUGCUUCUGCUUGGUGCAUUUCCUAGUCUACGGGCCAGCAUGGAUUUCGACCGAUGGAAAAAGGCUUGGGGGAAUGUGGCACCUCCGGGUGUGUUAUAGCCCCUUGUCACACGCGUCGGUCGGGAUCGAGGACCUCAGUGCACGCUUCGGUUGUGCUUUGAUGCUGGCGUAAUGGCUUUAAACGACCCGUCUUGAAACACGGACCAAGGAGUCUAACAUGUCUGCGAGUGUUUGGGUGGAAAACCCGAGCGCGCAAUGAAAGUGAUAAGUUGGGAACCUCUCACGAGGGGCACCGACGCCCGGACCAGACCUUCUGUGACGGAUCCGAGGUAGAGCAUAUAUGUUGGGACCCGAAAGAUGGUGAACUAUGCCUGCAUAGGGUGAAGCCAGAGGAAACUCUGGUGGAGGCUCGUAGCGAUUCUGACGUGCAAAUCGAUCGUCAAAUGUGGGUAUAGGGGCGAAAGACUAAUCGAACCAUUUGGUAAACGCUACUCGGUGGUUAAGAGGCGUCCGAAAGGAUCAUCAGCCUAGUGAGCGUUGAGGCUCGCGACACUAUCAAAUUGCGGGGGACAUCCUAAAGCUUUUGCGACCAAGCACUCUGUGGAAACGCAGGUGUGGCCGAGUUAAUUGCCCUGGGUAUGGUAAAAACUGCAAAAGAUGUUACAAUGGACAACCCGCAGCCAAGUCCUAAGGGCCAUGCGAAUGGUCUAUGGAUGCAGUUCACAGACUAAAUGGUAGUGGGUGUGCAUCGAGUCGGCUCUUCGUCUGGCUCUGCAUGCUUAAGAUAUAGUCGGUCCUGCCGCGAAAGCGGACCGGUGGAUGAAGUUCAUGGUCCCUCAACUAAUGGCCAUGUUCAGGAGCCACUGGGUGCAGUUUUCGAUUAAGAAACU
rnacentral:rRNA from 1 species